CCCUGCCAUUUGUACACACCGCCCGUCGCUACUACCGAUUGAAUGAUUUAGUGAGGUCUUCGGACUGGUGCGCGAUGGCGUUUCGGCGUCGUCGAUGAUGCUGGGAAGAUGACCAAACUUGAUCAUUU
rnacentral:rRNA from 1 species